rnacentral:rRNA from 1 species
GAUGAACGCUGGCGGCGUGCCUAAUACAUGCAAGUCGAACGCUUCACUUCGGUGAAGAGUGGCGAACGGGUGAGUAAUACAUAAGUAACCUGGCAUCUACAGGGGGAUAACUGAUGGAAACGUCAGCUAAGACCGCAUAGGUGUAGAGAUCGCAUGAACUCUAUAUGAAAAGUGCUACGGGACUGGUAGAUGAUGGACUUAUGGCGCAUUAGCUUGUUGGUAGGGUAACGGCCUACCAAGGCGACGAUGCGUAGCCGACCUGAGAGGGUGACCGGCCACACUGGGACUGGAACACGGCCCAGACUCCUACGGGAGGCAGCAGUAGGGAAUUUUCGGCAAUGGGGGAAACCCUGACCGAGCAACGCCGCGUGAAGGAAGAAGUAAUUCGUUAUGUAAACUUCUGUCAUAGAGGAAGAACGGUGGAUAUAGGGAAUGAUAUCCCAGUGACGGUACUCUAUAAGAAAGCCACGGCUAACUACGUG